rnacentral:lncRNA from 1 species
GACCCUGGAAGUGAUGUGUGCACACAGGGUGACCCUUGGCCACCAGACUAUGCAGGGUGGUACCUGGGGAGCAGCAAGGAAAUCACAGGCCCCCUGGACCCCACUCCCCACCCACCCCUGAAAAGCAUGUUUCUCCCCCAUGGCACAGUCAGGUGAAGCACGUUCUCCCUGGAAGCCCUCACCUUCCACAGACAACUCAGAUUUCCUACUAGAGGAAGGGGAGGAUCUCUGUGCAUCCCAGUACUGCCUGGAAACUUACCUUCCCAUGGUCCAGGACACAUCUCAUCGAAUGGAAACAUGUUCUUGCAUGUGGAUGUGUGUUUCCCAGGCAGAGGGUCCUGCGUUCCUCAGCACUUCCCUGCAUUCUCCCAGACCUCAGGUCCAGCACAUGCUUCCUCCUUGCAUAGCAGGUGGGAACCGACUUCAGACUGACAGAAGCCACGUGAGAAGUACAGACUUCGAGGGAGAUGCUGAGGUGGGAGGAUGGGGGGCAUGGCACAUGACACACAAAGAGGCCAUGCAUGUUUAACUUAACGCCCUCGUGGGGCCUG